UCGCCUGUUUUUCAAAAACAUUUCUAUUAGAAAUAAUUAAUAGUAAAAUCUGCUCAAUGAAAAUUAAAUAGCCGCAAUUAGUGCUAAGGUAGCAUAAUCAUUUGUCUUUUAAUUAAAGACUAGAACAAAAGAUUUAACAUUUUAGUAUAUUUUUAUAAUUAAUAUUUUAAAUUCUUUUAAUUGUAAAAAAACAAUUUUAAAUAAAAAAGACGACAAGACCCUAUUGAACUUAACUGAAGUUAAACUGGGGCAGUUAAUUAAAUAUUAUUUUAAUAUAAAUAAAAUAUAAUGUGACCUAUUAUUAUUAACUAGUAAAUCAAGUUACCUUAGGGAUAACAGCGUAAUAAUUCUUUAAAGUUCUUAUUUUAAGAAAAGAUUGCGACCUCGAUGUUGAAUUAAGCAAUCCAAUUAACGCAAUAGUAAAUUGAGAAAGUCUGUUCGACUUUUAAAUCCUUACAUGAUCUGAGUUCCAAACCGGA
rnacentral:rRNA from 1 species